AUUAGCAAAAAUAAAAUUUAUUUCCGUUUUAAAAUCAACAUUAAUUAGAUUACUUGUUUCACCUGAAACUGUCUUACAUAAACAUAAAAAAGAAGAUAAAUUCUUUAUGUAAGCAAAACAUCAAAUUUAACUUCACAAAUAAGCAAAUACGAAAUCUGUAGUAAGAACAUUUAGAAGUGAUUUUUUUUCUAAUUUGUUCUAAUUUUUCCUCUCUUUCUUUCACAUUCUCUAGCAUAAUAAAUAUGCUUUUUAAUUGAUAAUUAAAAAUACAACAACAAGGGGAAAAAAGUGAACGUUUUGUUUCUCCAUAAACUGUAUCGUAAUUAAUGCAUCGACCAUUUAAUGACCUCAGAUUCUUUCACUUUUCGUCAUGUAGCCGCUGUGUAAACCGUGAGUUAAAUAUAUCUUGUUAAAUGGCUAAUUAAACCUUAAUAAGAUCGGUUCACCCAGAGCGCUCGGCCAAGAAUGAGGCCAAUGGUACGACGUGUCUCGUUUGGAACUUUUGUUAAACCGUGAAUACCAUUCCUUAAGAAUCGCGAACUUAUUGCCAGGUGCUUUCUCAAGACUCUUUGUCGUAUCAAACGAUUUAUUUCUUAUCCAUUCGUAUAAUGUCCAGUGAGUCCACAUUAUAGAUUUUAAUUAACUCUUAAACGGUGAUCGAUGGCGAAUAUUGGAUCUUUUAUCCAUAUUAUAUUUUAGAAUUUUUUUUUACUAAAAUUAUGUGUUAUAUAAGUAGUAGGUUAUUUAAAAAAAAUAACUAUUUAAAACAAGUUAUUUAACGAAUAAAAAAAUUCUUGGGCGACUAUCUAAGAGUUAAGAAUUGAUUUUUCGAUCAAUGUGUAUCAAUAACGUCAUGAUUUCGCUUACACAUCACAUGAUUAAAAAUUUAUCGUGAAACGUUUAUUCGUCAUAUUCAUAGAUUUGAUUAUUACUCUUCGUUUCUUUCAGAUAUCACUGAUUUUUAUGUUCGUUUAAUUCAAGCGUGUAAUUAAAAUCAUUUAAUCAAAGAUUCGCUGUUAUUGAAAUAGAUUAUUAUAUACGAUGAUAUUUAUCUUUCGAUUAAUUUUUAUCUCUCUCGAUAUGCUAUUAUAUCGAUCAAUCGACGAUACUGUAGAAAACGAUAAUAUAAUCAGAUAAAGGAAUAACGUGGAAUACAACGUGGAAUAACCAAAUAUGGCGGGAAAAUCAAACGUGAUGCGCCGAUUCCUCAUUGAAUUCUUCGGUCGAGUAUUGGUCGAGUAAAAAAGCCGAGUAGCAACCUGCGGAAGAGGCAAGAACGCGUUCCCUCGCGUUUUUGACGCAACGUUUCUCCUCUCUUUUCUCUCUUUAGCAUGCGAAAGAAAGACAUAGAGGAGCGGUAGCCAGCCAACCAUGAAGUCGAGACUCGAAUCGAACGCUACAAUUUCGCGGCAGCUAUGAAAUGAUCGCGAAUCAGAAAUAUGCAAUCGAUCACGAGGCGAUCGAGAAAAAUAUUCUGGUUAAUGUUUUGCAUUCGGUGAAAAAGUAACGAACGUUGGCAAAAUUCUCUUUUCAUUUUCAUACAUUUUAAAUAACGUAUUGACGUUUUAAUGCUUCAAGUUUUUCUUUUCGUUUUCUCUUCUUUCUAGUUUUAGAAUCAAUAACGCUCGAGCGAGUAAUUGUUAUUAAUAUUCUAUAUAAAAUAGGAAAAAACGUUUUCUCGAAAUAUCAUAUCAUAUCAUAUCAUAUCUAUUGACUAACAAUUAAUUUUAUUAAUUUUAUUAAAAAUAUUCCGACUAUUUUAAUAUCUUUUGCAGUAAAAUUUGUUCUCUUUCGAUUUAACAUUAGCUCAUUGAAUUCAAAUUGUCUUAUCUCUUGAUUUGACUCGUAAAAUUCUAAAAGGAAUCUUAUUUCGAUUACUCGCGCGUUUUAACCGGAUACGACAAAUAUCCUUUCACUCUACCAUUUAGCAACAUUGCCAAUUCAUGUUUCCAACUAAUACUCGAGAUGAAAUUUUUCUCCUUCGGUUUAGCCGAGUGCGGUUCACACUUGUUAAACUCGUUUACACGGAACUUUUUUACGCGUGUCUCCUCGGGGAAAUAAUUAUUCUGCCAAACGUUCACGUGAACGGGAUCGCCGGGUGGAAAAUUAGUACUGGAUACCCAUGGCGUUCCCACGAAUUGGUAACGAGUCGCCUGGAUGCAAGGGAACGAGUUCGGGUCAAUACCACUUGAACCGAUGUCGAUGACGAUCGCAACCGAUGACGCAUCACCUCGCGAAUCAUCUUGCGCGAUGAUGUUUCCAAGUGAUUCGACCAUCGUGAUGCUUGCAAUACGUCCCCUGUGAUUCCAUUAUCUCGAAAAAGAAGAGUUUUCAUUAAAGAUUUCCAAAUGAUUUUCGACUUUUUUCUCAGGAUAAAAAAAAUAAUCCAAACGUGAUUCGUUUUUGUUCCAAAUCUUCAUUCCAUGGCUUUUACAGACGUUAUAUGUAAUUAUAUUCCAUGAGAUAAUCAAUUCGAUUGUAUAGUCAUGAUUUGGUGAUUGUAAUUAGACAAGAAUCAUUCUUGUUGACGAAUCAAUCGAUGCAUGUUCCAUUGAUUUUGCAAUAAAUAUCUUGGUUAUUUUCUUACGCUGAGAAAAAUUUCAAUAUUAUAUCGUAUGAAUUAUGAUCGAUGUAAAAGUGUGCGUUGAUCGUUGCACGUUUGGCUUCGAUAACUUGUAAAGAAUCAAUUGCUCCAGGCUCGCGUUAAUUGAUCCGGCCUAUAUUACAUUCCUUGAAAAACAGUAACGGUCUUGACUUACUGUGAAUGAACUUUAGUAGCAAUGGAUGUUCAACAAUUGAGCUAUCUCUGCUGGUGCUGCGGCGGCAGCAGAAGCAAUCAGGGUCGAGCGACAAUGCAUUCACCUCGUGCAUCAACCACGCUUUACUUAGUACACUGUCUCGCGUUCUAACGAUAUACUUGUUUCUCUAUGUUACUUCGUGCUAGCCAAGCCGCAUUUCCGCUAUACACAUAUACAAUCGUAAUCAUUUCGUAACGAACGUUAUUGCAAAUUUAUUACCGUUGCUUUACCAGAAAUUUCAUUGCUAUUAAAACCAACGUGAGAACAGGCUUAUUAUAUAAAAUUAUUAUCAUCCUUCGAUGAUCGGUAUACAUAUUUUUACAUAUUUCAAUCAACAAUCAGAAUGUGGAAUGGAUUAAACGAUGAAGUAUAAGGAUAUUAUCGUCUGUACGUAUAUAUAUACAUAUAUCUAAUCAGAAAGCAUUAAAAAUAAUGUGUUAAUUAUAUAGGCAGAUCGCAUGGAAUGGUUGUUUAGAAUCAGUGGGAACUCCAUUAUCAAUCUCUGGUAAGGGCAUCAGACCCACGUGUCUGGUAAACCAAGAAAGAGACCGAACUAACGUAGUUCAAUUACAAGGAACGCAUUCACAGUUGGUUGUAGACACGAGCCUAAGUGUACUGGGCUUAACCGUAAUUGUUUAAUGGGUUAAUGAAAUGAUACACCCGCCGAAUCUAAGCGCGCACAAAAAGCCAAUUGUGCUCCAUCGACAUUCCACGAUUAUUCUGACUUCGUGUUCGUCUCUGACUCUAUGAAUAUAUUCAUAAACGCCACCAUUUUGUUACGCGUGUAACAAAAGUAUUGUAAAUAAUUAUUUGUUCGCAGGAAAAUUUAAUAUUCGCGUAGAGAGGGAAUCCUUAAUUUCGUAAUCUCUGUGGGUGAUUAUUUCAAAAUUUGUAAAUUUUAAUAUUUCAAAAUGGAUGGAUACGAAAAUCUGGCAACACGGUUGAGAAAUUCCCGGUGAAAUGCAGUCUAUUUAGCUUACGGGCAAAAGAUGCAUCCUGCUGCGAGGGUUUUAACGGUGACUGCCUACCUCUCAUCCAUUCAUAUUGCUUUUCGUUCUACGUAGGAAUCUCGAAACGACCUGACUACUGCAACUAUACGUGAAAGUUACGAUGUUGUUGAGUUUAAUAUUACGAGAACCGUGAUUUGUACCGUGUUAAAGAGUGAUGCAAAUGAGAAAUUUCCUUCGCAUUCCGGUUUAUGAAUGGAAAAAAGAAAAAACCUCUUGUAUCGUCUUGUUCGCAAAAUCGUUUUCUCAAUGUAACGUUUCGAACUGUCUGUAUUCUCAAAUUAAAUAUUUCAAAAACGAUAUUAACGUUUGGUGAAAUUCAUUCAUUUCGUGUGUUUUUCAAUAUAUAACGUCCGUAAUAAAAUUAAGAAUAUUGAGAAAUAGCGCAAAAUUGUAGCCUUUCGCUCAGUUAUUAUCACGGAUUGUAAGUAGAAUGACUGAGAUUUCUAAUUGAUUUCCGGUUUUCUUUCCAAGUAAAUCCUAUUAACGUCUUAAUAUUUUCUGUUUUCGUUGUAAUUAUAUUGGAAUAUGCGUCAUCCGUUGCAUAAAAAAAAAACACAAUUUUCCUGUUCGAUGAAAAAUUUCCUCAUUCAGUGAAUACGCACACCGUAUAUAAUCAGGUUAAAAAAUUUCGUUAUAAAUUUCAUGCUUCAACGACGAAACACGUAUUUAUUUUAUUCGGUUAUCGAGAAAAAACUUUUAUUUUAUUUCGAGUCACGAAUGAAAUUGUCAAACGAAAAAAAUAUUAAAAAUAUACUCGAUUACCAUAAUCUUUGGUUGAGAAAAAUAAUUGAAAAUAUCAUAAAUUCGCUCGUAACGUAUCAUACUGCAAAAAAAGAUCUUUUAUUUUUUCUCUCUCUCUCUCCUCUCUCCCCUCAGCUGCUUUUACUUACGUCGUCAUUCGAUAUUCAAUCUUGCGUGAAAGAUUUUGCGGUUUUCGAUACUCGCUCGCUGUCAGAUCUUAUCUUCUUUUCUGUGUUGCGCUCGGGACGUGAGAAAAUGAUAUAAAGCCUCUUCCGAAACGCACGCUCGCCGUGCAAAGGAACGUUGGUACACGCUCGAAAUCGACUCUCUCGUUGCUCGUAAGGAGCAAGUUCAAAGACCUGCGCACGCCGCUUCGUGCAUUCAUCGUGCAACGUUUUGAAACGGUCCACGUCGAAUCGAGGAUCCAACCAUUUUUUCUCUUUUCUUUUCUUUUCUUUUCUUUUUUUUUUUUCACGAUCGAGAGCAUUGAAGUUCAACGACAUUGCUUUUAUCGAUGGUAUAAUCCUAACGGGGAUAUUCAACGUCAUGCCCGGCGUGAAAUUUGAAUCAUACGAGCCUCGAGGAGUCUCAUGGUCACACUGCUGAGGGUCACUAACAGGAAAAGAUCUUACAACGGAUUCUUAGUUGGUCGCUGAUCGUGACAGUUUAAAUGUCGCCACUCGACGAGGCUAAAGGGAUCAAUCACGGUGCACAUUCUCGUAAUCACCGAGAGAAUGGGAGAUGCUAACUCGCAUCUUUUUUCUUUCUUUCUUUCCUUUUUCUAACUCUCCUCUUAUUUCGAACUGAAGGAAGAAAAAGGCUUGGGAAACGUUAGUCGUUUCGUGGAAGAUUUAUAAAACUGAAAUGCCAUGUCGCCUUUGUUCUUGGUGCCGGGAAUCGAGUGACCGUCGUUUAACAGGUACUGUUAGAUCGAGGAGGCCGUGUUGAGAAAUUUGCGGUGUCGACGGUACAAUAGCUCGCGAUUUUAUAAUUACAACGUACGAAAUGUAAACAAGAAACUUUCUACUCCACGCAGCCGUAUACAAGCGUGUAUUAAAGUUCAGUGGAUCGCGUGUUGGGAAGGAGAUGAAGAAAGUACGUAUAUUUGGCGAUAAUAUAAGAUCAAGCUUGAAUCAAUUGUUUUAAAUAACUUAAGCACGUGGAAUCAAGGACGAACGAUUGUUCCCUUAUUCGUAACGAAUUUUUUGCGAGGAAAAAGAAAACUGUGCCGUAACAAGGAUUCCUUUGACGAUUCCAAGUCUGCAGAACAACCUUGUUGAGGCGAACUCGGCUCGACCAAUAAUACAUAGUGACUUAACACCAGCAACACUCAGUGCGUCUCGGGUGCGAAGUGAGUAUAAGUGCGAGACGGUGGAGUUUAAUUGAGGUUGAUGAGGGGGGCGCUCGUAUUGGCCCGGAAUUCAAUGCCGCGAUGAUGUUUCUUGCUUGUAGCAAGACGUUGUCUUGGAGAGAAUGCGUCAGAAAAAUCGAUAAACUCGUCUAAUUCUUCGAUCGGGUGUUCGGGAUCGUGUUAAGAUUGCUCGGUAAUGGAAUUUUUUAAAACGUGAAUUUUGUAACACGAUACGAAGCGAAGUUUCAUAUCUAUCAUUCUAAUGAAACUGUUUAUCAUAUUUUGUACAUAAUAAAAAAAGAAGAAAUAAUAAUAAUAUCGCAAACAGGAUAAUUUAACGAAGUAAAAAAUUUGUAUGAUUUAAUAACGGAAAAACGAAUAAAUUUUGUUACAUCCACGUAUUAAUUCGUAUUUGAUGUAUUGUAUUAUUAUGAUGUUCGCGUCGUAAAUCGAAAAUAACUUGGAAAACGUAAAAUAAUCGGCAAGUGUUAUCAAACAACACGUCUGUAAUCGAUCUUUGUUUAUCGAUUCGAAAAAUAGUUGUUCGUAUCGGAUAACAUCAGAUACAUUAUCGAAUUAUUACUCCAUUUCUAUCGUAUACCUAAGAUAUCUUUCAUGACAUUCGGAGCGGUUCUUUAAACGUCUUAUAACCGUGUAUAGGUGCUUCUUAUCAAGCGUGUUUUGUACGCGGCUCGUACGAUACUGUCUCUCUGAAUGGAGGCGUUCCAGCUGCUUCGACGAUCGACUCGACAGCAUCCUGUCUCCAGAUACGCACAUAUAAGUACAUACAUGCGCACACACGGUCGCGGAUGGAAGAGCAAGAUCCUGAAGCCUAAGAAAACUUCUUUCACGUAUGCGCUCGAAACGAAAUCGUGGCGCUGGCCUCGAUAAAACGUUACACGAAAGAAAAAAAAUUAACCAAAUAAUAAAUCCUUCUGCGAAUUUCAUAACUUUUCUAAACUCUUUAUCAUUGAUAAGCUCGAACGAACGCGUGGCAAAAUCGAGAGCGAUAAGAUAAAACAAUGAAUUGCAAUAAAUGUUCAAACUUGCUCCGUCGUCAUUGUUCCUCUCUUUCUCUCUGAAGGAUUAUUUCUCGAAAUAAUACUAUUUAGCGACGGAAUUACCUCUCGAAACAACGUUUAAUAGGGCCUGUGAAAGCCUGAAUAACGACACCUCGGGCAACCAGUUAUCAAAGAGCAACCUGUUGAGUGAGUUCAUAAAACCGGCGAGGCAAGGAUAUCGAGAUGGCGCGUUCGUAAAAUCGCAACGACCAUCUCGCGCCACCGAGAAACCGUCACCCGAUCUUCAAACACGGUGUUCCUGAAACGUUUUCGAGCAGCUCGUGGUGGGGAACUCGGUCGUGGACAACCCCACCACACGGCUCCAGGUUGCGUGCCGCGGUCGCGAAGCAAGAACCUCCCCCUUGGGCAGGAGCAACGCGUCUGUCUAUUCCGCGAAUCAGAUUGGAAUAGAAUGGAGGAUUCUGUGAGAAAUUAUUUAUCGAUCUCUAGCUUUUUGUUUCGUUUAUUUCGUGGAUAUUUUAUUCGUGGAAACGAAUGUUCGUGUGUAUGGAAUAGAAUGUGUCUUUUGUUAUAAUAGAAAAAAGUCGCAAGGGUAAUACGAGGGAAUAAAUCGUGGUUUCGCGUUUUUCUCACGUGUUCUUCUAGUUUCUCGUCACGCGAGUAAAGGCGACAUCCGAUUCCCAGUAGGAAAGGGGUAUCGUAGCGUUACGAUAGAACGGGGAGCGUAUCUUCUUUAUUUUUCCGUUUCUUCGCCUUUUUCUCACAUUCGUAUAAACGGAAUAUAUUCCAGAAAUCGAUGAUCGUGAGUUUCUCUCGUGAUAGAUGAAACAUGGGGGGGGAACAUAGUCGACCAGAUCUCUCUUUAAAUUUUCCCUCAACAGCUUUCGUUUAUUUGCAAUUCAAACGGUUCUUGUCAUAUACCAUAUUGUACUUUAUUGCGUGCUAAUGAAAACGAGAGGAAAAAGUUUCUCGAAGGGAAAAGUGACGGGCUUUCACCUAAAUUUAUAUUAUGUUUUAACAUUUACGGUUAAACGUUUCACUGUGUUCUAUCGAUUGUUCGUUGUAAAAAUCCAACGAUAAUUAGUAAUUAGUAAUUCGUCGGGGCAGAGGUGAAGUUUAUUAUAAACGACAGUAAGAAAAAUUAAUUAUAAAUAAGUAAAGUAAUGCAAUUAAGUAUACAAUUGACAAUCCAGAAGAAAAGUUCAAGAAUCAAAGUGCAAAAGAAAGAACUAAUAUACAAAAGGAAUUAAAACUUAAAAAAGGAAUAAUUGAAAAAUAACAGUAGAAUUCCUCUUCGAUCCAACUUCCUCGGGAUCAGCAAUCAUCCGUUAGUUAUAAUAAUAACUGUAUAGGGAUCGGUAUGAAAUACUUGGACUCUUCCACGAGCCCUUGGCUCCUGGGGAUCGCAAUCGACAAAAGAAUCGUAUUGCUCGGCCAUGUAAGGUGAUGUUUUCCUGUCGGUCGACAAGCUCGUGUAAAAUUGCGACUUGUACCGAAAGGAUGAAGAACGAGUCACAUCCGCUCGUCCCGCGGCUUCGAUACGCCGUAAGACGAGGCCGCGCUCGCAAAGUGGCUCUCUUCUAUACCAAAUGAGGCAACCAGUCCCGAAGAAAACAGCCCAGAUAUGUCUCCGGGGACUUAGCGCUGCUCCAAACCGGGACUCGAUAUCUCGCGAACUCGCGUUCCCUUCGCUCGGGGUGAACGUCCAACCGUCCCCCGUCGGUCAGACUGGAUGAACAAGUGAACUCGAGCUCCCAUUCCUUCGCAUCUUCGCCUUCGUGUACAGUCUUCGGAUCGCCAGCCAAUCGAUAUCGAUCGCAUUCGAUCGAGCGAAUCGUGCAUGUAUAUUUUUCUUCUGUUCUUUGCAGAUCGAUAGAAAUCUUUUAGUUUUUCUCAACGAUCCUCGUGAGCUUAAGAUUGCUCCGAUUGUGGUCGAGGAAGCAAAUUAUAAAUUAUAGAUCCGAGCAUCGAGGAAAAAUAUCGUUUCGUGAAAAUAAUUAAAGUAAUUCGACAUUUAAUUUCGAACUUAUUUAAUCGUUUAAGCUUUGAUAGGCGAUAUAGAAACGAAACAUUCGUAUAUGAUAAUAAAUUUAAACAUCAAUUUCCAUAUUUUCUGUACAAUAUUUUCGAUCCGGUAAUAUUCUCUUCCAAAAUAAAGAAAUAUUCGAAAAGUCACAUGGUUGGAAGAACAAGAAUCCCACUUCCUCUCCGAAACUUGGCGACGAGAGUCUCUUUUGCACCUUCGGGACAUCCCCAUACACCGGUAUGAUACGGCAUGUGCACGAAGAAAAUGGCGCAUCCUACGAAGAAUGAGUAUAAAGAAAAUCUGGCUGGCCAUUGUUAUCUGGACUUCAGAGAAUCUCGGAUGGUGUGGCGGCGGUAGGCGAGACAGGGGGUCCAGGAGGGAUGAAAGGCACCGGGGGUUAAGUUACCCGAGGGUCCACGACACUCAGGUACCGCAUUGUUGCGUCGUAGUCGUGGUACGAAUCGGCGUGGCCCUGCUGCGCGGCUGAUGGAGGUGGAGAGGCAAGCAGCAGGAGAACCGAGACUAACCUGCGAGCCUGUUUGUAGGUGGCACUGAACUUGAGACGGGGACUCGCCUUCAAGAGACACGAGGAGAGGAAAAAAAGAAAGAAAGAAAGAAAGAAGGAGGGCUAGAUCGCCGGUUAUAUAGUUAGUUUGCAUGCACCUUACGUUUCGUGUUUUAGAAACUUUGAGGGUCGUAAAAAGAUAAGAUGAACAAUCUUCGGAGGAGGAAUCUUGUUCUCUACCGAGAAAAACAUCUUUUUUGGCAACAUUGAAGUCGUGUGUCUCAAAAGGAGAGAAAAUUUUGAUGGAUAAUUUCUCGAUUUUGGGAAUGGAAUGUUGUUUCGUUAUUAGCUUCUAGCAAAUUAUUUCCCUUUAUUCCUCGUCGCAAAUCACCUUGAGCAGUUGAAGAAAGGAGCGGCGGGAUUGUGACACUUCGACCACCCAUACGGUAUAGAGUAGUGCGCGUGCGAGAUACGAGUUGGUUCGCCAUAGUGAAAGAACCACCAUAGCGCGGCGAAGAUAUAACGUUACACUCUGGUAGCGGUCUUGGUGUGGGAACGCCACUGAGAUGGAAGUGGCAGAAGAAGCGGCGAUAUAUAUACACUUGCUUCUCGUCGACACAAUCGCGGUUAAGGAACACCGUGUUGGCUCAACGUCGUGUAUGCGCGAGGAAUAAGAUACUCUUCGGUUUCGUUUCUACGGGAUACCUUUACCUCUGCUUUAUACGACUCUGCGAUAUGCGGUAAAUACACGAGCGAAUUACACGAGUUCCAUUGGCGAUCGACGUUAAAUUUUACAAGAAUUUCCUUUUGAUAAGAUUGAUGACGGAUCAAGAAGGAUGGAAAGGAUCUUUUCCACGACUUCCUUUGAUUGAGUAAUUUAAUUUUUUUUUUCUUUCUUUCUUUUUUUCUUUACUGACCCCUGACACACGGCUUAGCGAAAACGCAACCGCAUGCAAAGCUCGUUUCGCGCCGCAGGAGAGGACAUCGUGUCGUAAAAGAAGGAAAAAAGUUAGUUUCGCCGGCCAUGUGCGUAUGGUUGGCACACUUGGUAGCCGCGCACUGUGUAGAGGCAUAUGUCGAGCUUCUUGUCGAGCAUUUUUUCGCGGGUGUAUACAAGUUCAGAGACGCCUAUAACCUUCCUUUUUGACGCGCGCGGCUCGGUAAUGUGCCAUGUGAACAUGCGUGAAAUUACAUCGAACUUGAUUGCCUGUUCGAGAUACGGCAGCGGAAAAUUGGCUGUGUAAUAACGUGGCAAAGUCGAUCAGAAUGUUAUUGGCGUUUCGCCUGUAUAUAUUAAUGAAUUUUAGAUACUCUGUGUAGUGAGUCGAAUAUGGAAGUAAUUAUUUUACGUUAUAAUAUAUGAAGAUGAUAAAAUAUUCUCGCCAGUUAUAUGGCACGAUUCUUAAUUAGACACAUGGGAUAAGGUAGACGGAGGCGUUGAAUGCGUAAAUCAAUCCAAACCUCUUCUUACCGAUCCCGUUAUGGGAAAAGAAAGACACGCUGACAUCCCGUGUCUUCCCGUCACGUUUACGCUCUGUUUUUCUCCGAUCUUUCUUUUCUCGCGCUUCUUUAUCCAUCUCUGCCGGUACGUAAUAUAUCGUACCCUUCCUCCUCCCCCUUUUAAAAUCUAAAAUGCCAUUAACGACCACGGGGGAAGGGGGAAAAAAAGGGUACACGAAACCUCGGUUGAUCUAUGUAACCUUAAAAAAAGUUGAAGAAACUUUUGUUGAAUUAUUUGACUCAUCGAUUUGAGCGGUCCUAUUUUUAAAUAGUUUCGAAUUAAUUUAUUUAUUCUGCUCGUGGGAAAGUAUUAAAAUAUUUUUUCCUAAAGGAAAAAAAGAAAGUUUUGAAUAAUAAUCGUUUGAUGGAACGAGUCUGUUUCUUUCGAACAGACCAUCAUCGUUCGCGAUGAAAAGAGUAGAUGGAAGAAAGGUGGAAGAAGCGCGUGACACGCAACGAUCACCUCCUCGAUGCCUAUUAUAGUUACGAGGCAUUCUUCCACCCUCGAAAUUCUCGUUCCCUCUUCCUUCGAUCACGAUGACACGAGAGAUUUCUCCUCCAGACGAAAGAUAGGCACACGGUCAAUGCAAUCUGCGUAGUAUCGAGGCUGCUUUGUACACAAGAACGAACAAAAGAGUGUUGAAUUGUCCUGCACCGGCAACUUGGCCCCGUAGAAAAAGGCAUGCAUGGACCACUUCAAGUCAGAACGGCUGCUAGUGAAUGCCGACAAGCCAAAUGGUUUGUUGGUUCGCGUAAAGAACCUUUUUCAGCCAGGAUGUACGUAAUACACCCCUCUUGAGAACAUUGUGAAUGUAAAAAAAAUUUUACACCACUACUUCGAUUUUAUAUUUAAAUUGAAUUAAAAUUUUAAAUUGAAUGUUUUUAUAAAACUCGAUUAUAUCUUAAAAUUAUUAAUUUCUUGUUGAAUUAAUUUAUGAUUAGAAAUUUUCUUUAAAAAAAGCACGAUCGUUAAUUGGCAAAUGAUAAGAGACCUUGAGAGCGAACCGUAGACCUUGUAUCAUUUUUUUUUUGUGCACUUUUACGAUCCAUUUCGCGGUUUCUUCUCGCUUCCUCGUGUCCCCUUGAGACAAGAUGCUUUCUAGAGUGCGUAUAUCAAGGCUCCGUUCAAAAAAUCCCCGCACACGCAGCACGCAUGUUGCCGAUGGAACUUGACGAGUUCCACGAACAGGCGAACGGUUCGUGUCUAGAAAGAAAGAAAGAAAGAAAGAAAGAAAGAAGAGAGGUAGAUUGGAAAAGCAGCACGUACUGGAUAAAGUAUUCAUGUAUUCCCUUGACUCGUUGCCUAUCGUGUAUAUUGACUAAUGGUACUCGUCACUCUGAUAUUCCUAUACUUCGAGUACACAAAGUGCUACGAAAAUACAAAGUCUAGGAUAAAAGGAGAAGAAGAAAAAAAGAGAAGAAUUAUACUUACCCCUUCGUGAUGCACGUACAUCCAUUGUUUUCGAUAAAUUAUUCCAACAAGACGAUCAUGAAUCUAUCGAGUUUGAUACUUGAAAACAUAAUUACAAUUAAACGAAUUCGUGUAAUUAUGACUCGACAAAAAAAAUUAAUAUUAAUUUUGUCGGCAGCAUAUAUUUUCAGUAUAUUGCAAAAAAAAAAAAAACAAAAA